CAAGGAUUCCCCUAGUAGCGGCGAGCGAAGCGGGAAGAGCUCAAAUUUAUAAUCUGGCACCUUCGGUGUCCGAGUUGUAAUCUCUAGAAAUGUUUUCCGCGUUGGACCGCACACAAGUCUGUUGGAAUACAGCGGCAUAGUGGUGAGACCCCCGUAUAUGGUGCGGACGCCCAGCGCUUUGUGAUACAUUUUCGAAGAGUCGAGUUGUUUGGGAAUGCAGCUCAAAUUGGGUGGUAAAUUCCAUCUAAAGCUAAAUAUUGGCGAGAGACCGAUAGCGAACAAGUACCGUGAGGGAAAGAUGAAAAGCACUUUGGAAAGAGAGUUAACAGUACGUGAAAUUGUUGGAAGGGAAACGCUUGAAGUCAGACUUGCUUGCCGAGCAAUCGGUUUGCAGGCCAGCAUCAGUUUUCCGGGAUGGAUAAUGGUAGAGAGAAGGUAGCAGUUUCGGCUGUGUUAUAGCUCUCUGCUGGAUACAUCUUGGGGGACUGAGGAACGCAGUGUGCCUUUGGCGGGGGUUUCGACCUUCUUCAC
rnacentral:rRNA from 1 species